rnacentral:rRNA from 1 species
AGGGUUUGAUUCUGGCUCAGGAUGAACGCUGGCGGCGUGCCUAAUACAUGCAAGUCGAGCGAGAAUUUUUCAAAUGACACUUCGGUUGAUUUUGGAAAAGGACAGCGGCGGACGGGUGAGUAACGCGUAGGCAACCUGCCCCUGACAGAGGGAUAGCCAUUGGAAACGAUGAUUAAAACCUCAUAACGCCGAAGGAACACAUGUUUCAUCGGCCAAAGAUUUAUCGGUCAGGGAUGGGCCUGCGUCUGAUUAACUAGUUGGUGAGGUAACGGCUCACCAAGGUGACGAUCAGUAGCCGACCUGAGAGGGUGAUCGGCCACAUUGGAACUGAGACACGGUCCAA